rnacentral:rRNA from 1 species
AGGAAAAGAAACUAACCAGGAUUCCCCUAGUAACUGCGAGUGAAGCGGGAAAAGCUCAAAUUUAAAAUCUGGCGGUCUCUGGCCGUCCGAGUUGUAGUCUGGAGAAGCGUCUUCCGCGUCGGACCGUGUACAAGUUUCCUGGAACGGAGCGUCAUAGAGGGUGAGAAUCCCGUCUUUGACACGGACAGCCGAUGCUUUGUGAUGCGCUCUCGAAGAGUCGAGUUGUUUGGGAAUGCAGCUCAAAAUGGGUGGUGAAUUCCAUCUAAAGCUAAAUAUUGGCGAGAGACCGAUAGCGAACAAGUACCGUGAGGGAAAGAUGAAAAGCACUUUGGAAAGAGAGUUAAACAGUACGUGAAAUUGUUGAAAGGGAAACGCUCGAAGUCAGUCGCGUCCGCCGGGACUCAGCCUCGCAANCUUGCUUGGUGUAUUUUCUGGUGGACGGGCCAGCAUCAAUUUUGGUCGCCGGACAAGGGCUGGAGAAAUGUGGCACUUCGGGUGUGUUAUAGUCUCCGGUCACAUGCGGCGGUCGGGAUUGAGGAACUCAGCACGCCUUUACGGUCCGUCGCCCACGUUCGUGCUUAGGAUGCUGGCGUAAUGGCUUUGAACGACCCGUCUUGAAACACGGACCAAGGAGUCUAACAUGCCCGCGAGUGUUCGGGUGGAAAACCCGUGCGCGUAAUGAAAGUGAAAGUUGGGACCUCUGUCGUGGAGGGCACCGACGCCCGGACCAGAACUUCUGUGACGGAUCUGCGGUAGAGCGUGUAUGUUGGGACCCGAAAGAUGGUGAACUAUGCCUGAAUAGGGUGAAGCCAGAGGAAACUCUGGUGGAGGCUCGUAGCGAUUCUGACGUGCAAAUCGAUCGUCAAAUUUGGGUAUAGGGGCGAAAGACUAAUCGAAC